CUUCUCAAGCAUGCUUAAUAAUCCUACUUACUCAUGUCACAAAACAGGCUAGUUAACAACUAGAACAUAUCUAGAAGAAUAAUACUAAACAAAAACCAAAAUUAUAUAGCUUUAUAUCAAAGUUUUCCAUAGUCAAUGAAAGAAAUAUUCUGGAAUAUUUAAAUACACUUGGUUUUGGAGGACAAGGCAAUAAAAAGAUUGAAUAAAAUUAGAUAUUUUACAUAGAUACACAAGAUGUUUAUAUUUUGACACAUUAUAUAUUUUCUUGUAAGUUCCAUGAGAAAAAGGACUUUGUUUCUGUUCUCUGCUAUAUCCCCUGUGCCUAGAAGUUCACAUAGUAGAUGCUCAAUAAAUAAUUCUUGAAUGAUGAAUGAAUUUCAGCAUGUAUUUCAAUAAGCUUUGAAACACCUACAUUCAUGACUAAAAGUUAACCAUAAAUUUAGAUCUGGAAUAUUUGAAUGUCCCCCCUUUUAAUUUAGGCAGAAUAAUAAAAUGCUAUGGCAAAGCAUAUGCAUCAUUCUCUGCUGCUUAGAGUUGCUUUUCCCCUUACCCAUAUUAUCUGCCUCUCCUAGCAGAAAGCAAAAUUUCAAACAUCUAUAACAAUUAUUUCUUUGAGAAGACUGUAGAGCAUUGUUUCAAAGAGGGUUUUCUUAAGCCUGUAGGCAAACCUAAAAAGGUAAAUGACUCAAUCAAGCUGGCACUUCAACAGUGUCUACCACUGCUUCAAGGCCAGCCUGUUCAAAUACUUCCCUGAAAUCACAUGCUAAAGUCAUUGUAUUUAAACUUUUUUUCUAUAAACUCAUAUGAAACAAUUACUCCUAUUGUAUUAGGCUCUACAGUCAGUGCGGAGGUAAAAUUAAAAGCUCCUCUAAUACUUCUAAAGUAGUAGAGUGUCUUUUAGUUUAAAUGACUGAUAUAUGCUGAUAUGCCAAGACUAGAGUAAUUUUGUUCAGAUUUGUUUAAUUUUUAAUAGAAGCAUUAAGUUAAUUAUUUAACUUCUUAAGGGCUUGUUAUAUAAAAAUAUGCCUUAUUUAAAUAUUCUCUUUAACAAGAAGGCUUAUUUCAUAAUAAUUUUAAAUAAAUCAGCAAUGGACUCAAAUUUCAGGGCUAUGUGAUAUAUCUCUGAAGAAGAAAUUCAAAUAAAAUAUAGAGGUGGUGACAACUGCUGCAAGGGGAAGUGCAGUAAGCCAAAUGAUCCAUUUGAAGGAGAGCUAUUUUAGGUGGAGGUGGUGGUCAGGUGGGGUCUCCAGUGCACUAUAUUUUCCCUUAUUUGUACCUAUGUUUGAACUUGUAACGCUAGAAAAAAAAUCAUGCCACCAAGUGGAUGCGUGCCACCCCAAAUUUGUGGCCUUUAAUCUCAGUUGGCCUUCAGUGAAGCACAGAGUCUCUUCCACAGCCGACGUGUUUUUGUUUUUGCUAAAUGCUUGCAGCAGCCUUUCCAAACCUCCACCUCAUCCUUAUUUUCAUCCCCUUCAGGUGUGACCUACUUUACUUCCUACUUCAUGAAGUACAUUCUGUCCUCUACAUUACUGCUUCCCAGAUGAAAUCUAUUCUAACAUUCACCCAUCCUUUCUUCUUCACAGGAAAGACACCUCUUCUUCUGUUCUAGGCUAAUUCCUUGGUCUUCACAGCUGUUGAGACUGUGGUCUUUCUCCCUUCACAUUUCCAGCCUCAUUUUCCUCUUCCUCCUCCUCUGCAGGCUCCUUUGAGCCACCCUCCUUGAUGCCUCUUUGCAGCAUCUUCCUCUGCCCACCUUUAGAUGUCCUAUUCCCCCAUAGUCACAGAUUCUUUCCAUGGUUGUCUUCUCACACUGACUUGGGCAGCAUAUUCCACUAGCUCUUCCUGAGGGCUCCACUCUCCACACUUCCAUCCUCUGCACAAGCUCUUUAGCUUUCUGGGUUGUCUGCUCCAUUGAUACAUUUGCCCAGGAUCUGCUGUGUUUCAGUAUGUUCAAAUUUUUCUUUUUGAACUGAUUUUCACACUAAGCUCAAAAGACCUUCUCCGUCCACCCCUUCUAAAACUCUCAACAGCACCUCUACUACAGGUUCUCUCAUGCAAUCACUGUCUCCAUUUUUAUCUUCUUGUAACUUAUCAACUCCUUGAAAUAAGAGACUGCAUUGUUAUUUGCCAUAUAUUUAUGUGGGUAAGGGCUCAAAAAAUAUCAAGUGAAUGGAUGAAUUUUAUAUACGUAAAAUAUGAUGUCAGUAAUGAUAUGACUCAGAAAAUAUCCAAACAUCUUCUGCAUGACCAAUUGGUGGGGCUACUGUUUGAUAAGGAUGUGGACCAAGUAACUUAAUGCUCCUACCAAGAGAAAGAAUUUAUGAUGUUAUGAUGAUCCUAUACCAAGUAAAUCUCCUUAAAGUUACUGUUUUAAAGACUAGAAAUUAAUAAAGUCUAAAUAAAGUAUAUAAUAAAAGUA
rnacentral:lncRNA from 1 species